rnacentral:lncRNA from 1 species
UGUGAUGCAAAGAAGACAGUUAUGUCUCUAGUUGUGAAGACCAAGAAUACGGUUACGUAUCUAGGUCAAGACCAAAUGAAAGUUCAAUAAUAAAAAAGCAAACCAUGGCCUGUAGACACAAAUUAUUCAAAAACAUAUUAAAAUAAGUAUAAGUCAAUAAAAGCGACCGUGCUAGAACCACAGGACUCGAGGGAUGCCUAAUACCUUCCCCUCGGUCAACAGAAUUCCUUACCCGAAUUUCUAGUUCGUAGACCAAAACUAAAAGAGUCAUUUCCUAUUGAUUAGGGAUUCGAAAAGGUGACUUGGAACACCACAACUCAAUUCCAAGUGGCGAC